AAUGGGCGCAAGCCUGAUCCAGCCAUGCCGCGUGAGUGAAGAAGGCCCUUGGGUUGUAAAGCUCUUUCGUCGGGGAAGAAAAUGACUGUACCCGAAUAAGAAGGUCCGGCUAACUUCGUGCCAGCAGCCGCGGUAAUACGAAGGGACCUAGCGUAGUUCGGAAUUACUGGGCUUAAAGAGUUCGUAGGUGGUUGAAAAAGUUAGUGGUGAAAUCCCAGAGCUUAACUCUGGAACUGCCAUUAAAACUUUUCAGCUAGAGUGUGAUAGAGGAAAGCAGAAUUUCUAGUGUAGAGGUGAAAUUCGUAGAUAUUAGAAAGAAUACCAAUUGCGAAGGCAGCUUUCUGGAUCAUUACUGACACUGAGGAACGAAAGCAUGGGUAGCGAAGAGGAUU
rnacentral:rRNA from 1 species